CCUACGGGCGGCAGCAGUGGGGGAUAUUGCACAAUGGGGGAAACCCUGAUGCAGCGACGCCGCGUGUGGGAAGACGGUCCUCUGGAUUGUAAACCACUGUCCCCAGGGACGAAGAUGACGGUACCUGGGGAGGAAGCUCCGGCUAACUACGUGCCAGCAGCCGCGGUAAUACGGAGGGAGCGAGCGGAGUCCGGAAUUACUGGGUGAAAAGGGAGCGUAGGCGGGGAUGCAAGUUGGGUGUCAAAACUACCGGCUCAACUGGUAGUCGCACUCAAAACUGCAGCUCUUGAGUGAAGUAGAGGCAGGCGGAAUUCCUAGUGUAGCGGUGAAAUGCGUAGAUAUUAGGAGGAACACCAGUGGCGAAGGCGGCCUGCUGGGCUUUUACUGACGCUGAGGCUCGAAAGUGUGGGGAGCAAACAGGAUUAGAUACCCCAGUAGUC
rnacentral:rRNA from 1 species